rnacentral:lncRNA from 1 species
AGGUUCCAUAUUUUUGUACUCGACAACGUUGUCUCGUCCUUCGCUCUCUCCAGUUGGAUCUCUUACAACCAAUGCUGCAACUUCCUAUGCAGAUGGAAGGUUGUGUGUUCCGUUCCUUUUCCCAAGUAUCUGAAGUGUGUAAUCGUGGUAGUCUUCUUCUUUGAAUCUAUCUCUUGCCAUUCUGAAAGAUUUCGCGAGGAUGUUGUUCUCAUCAAGCAUAUUUUGUAGUUUUUCGACAAUGGCAGUGUUCACCGUUGAUUUUUUAUCAUUGCAUCUUGAAGCAUCUAUCCUGUUUUGAACCUCAUUUUCUGUCUGAUAGAUGUAUAGCUGGGCGAAUCGAGGUUUGUUACCUUCUUCAGGUAGUAGACUUCCGAUACGGUGGUAGUUCUGGCCAUGCAGUCUAAAAACAUAUGGUCCUUUGCCUUCGUUUAUUUCUUUGUCAACAGCUCCUCCCAUUGAUGUGAAUGAGAACAUUGAGUUGUAUGACCUGAUGUUUUCUUUGAAGUUUGUUGCAUCACUUCCUUCACCUGUUAAUAGUCCUGCGAGGUAAGGUGGAGGAUAUGCUAUCUUUGGUAGGUCAAUCUUACCUUGUUUACAGCAAAUUCUGAAAGAAGGUUUUUUGGUUCCUUUAUGAGAAUUUAAUCUUUCCUCACACCAUAGUAUUGCAUUGAAAUGUUCGCAUCUAUAUGUUGGCUUUCCAAAGUUCCAUAUCGUGCUAUCAUAACUUCUGGACGUAGUGCUGCUGCUUGUUUCUAUGAUGUUGCUUUGAAGGUCAUUGUCCCUCCCAUUUCUCCUUGAACGCUUGACAUCUCUUAUUUCAUUGAUUUGUUCCUUUCUCUUCCGUGAAGCAUCUUCUUCUAUUUUAUUGGUUGUUUCAUGUGUAUUCCUGCAUCUCUUACUCCUUUUUUCUUGUAGUUGUUGUUUCCUCCUGAUAAUAGCUUCUUUAGCUUCUUUUGCAAGUGGGCCUGCUGAUUUUGAUGUAUACUGUCCCUUCAUUUCUGCAUUUGAUAUUCUUUUAGCAAUAUAGUAUCAAAUAUUUGAAAGGUACUUUAUGCACAAUGUCAUAAACAAAACAAUGUAUGCACUAAAUAAGAGAUGCUGGCUGCAUGUAGAAACAACCUAUAAUUCUUAUCAAUCAUGCUUUUCAGGAUUGUUGUGUUGCGUGGUUCGAGCUGCAGUGUAUGGCAUUAUUGGUGUGACAGUGUGGUUGUUUCUCAGUGCACGACAAUUGCUCCAUGGGAAUUACUACGGCGAAGUACUCUCAAAGUCAUUUUUAGCACUACACGUAAAAUUAUUUGGUUUUGUAAUAUUUACAAAGGGAAAUCUUUCAAAUGUAUAUUUUAGAGAAGUACAAAAAAUUAGUCAUUACAUGAAGAUAUAAAAAGGUGAAUGAUAUACCUGAUAGUGUCUUCUUGCCUUGGUUUUUAAAAUUUGUAAAGCUUCACACGCUUCUGCUAAUAAAUUAUUGUCACAAUUGUAUCUUUGCUGCAAAGCAAAUCCUGUACUGAUCCUGGAAAGUAUUUCGUGUGAUGUACAAAAUUAUUAGAGCAUAUCUUUCUAUUGCUGCCAUGAUUUUAUCAGUCUGUAUGUCACUUUUAGUUCAUCACAGAAGCUAGUACUGUUUUCUAAAAGAAAAUAGAGCUUAUGUGAAGAGCCAAGGCAUGACGUGUGAGAAUAGCUUAU